rnacentral:rRNA from 1 species
AUUGAACGCUGGCGGCAGGCCUAACACAUGCAGGUCGAACGGUAACAGGAAGAAGCUUGCUUCUUUGCUGACGAGUGGCGGACGGGUGAGUAAUGUCUGGGAAACUGCCUGAUGGAGGGGGAUAACUACUGGAAACGGUAGCUAAUACCGCAUAACGUCGCAAGACCAAAGAGGGGGACCUUCGGGCCUCUUGCCAUCGGAUGUGCCCAGAUGGGAUUAGCUAGUAGGUGGGGUAACGGCUCACCUAGGCGACGAUCCCUAGCUGGUCUGAGAGGAUGACCAGCCACACUGGAACUGAGAAACGGUCAGACUCCUACGGGAGGCAGCAGUGGGGAAUAUUGCACAAUGGGCGCAAGCCUGAUGCAGCCAUGCCGCGUGUAUGAAGAAGGCCUUCGGGUUGUAAAGUACUUUCAGCGGGGAGGAAGGGAGUAAAGUUAAUACCUUUGCUCAUUGACGUUACCCGCAGAAGAAGCACCGGCUAACUCCGUG